UACAGAGGUCCCAAGCGUUGUUCGGAUUCAUUGGGCGUAAAGGGUGCGUAGGCGGCGCGGGAAGUCGGGUGUGAAAUCUCGGAGCUUAACUCCGAAACUGCAUUCGAUACUGCCGUGCUUGAGGACUGGAGAGGAGACUGGAAUUUACGGUGUAGCGGUGAAAUGCGUAGAUAUCGUAAGGAAGACCAGUGGCGAAGGCGGGUUGCUGGGCUGACACUGGAGCUGAAACGCGAAAGCUAGGGGAGCGAAACGGG
rnacentral:rRNA from 1 species